rnacentral:rRNA from 1 species
UACGGAGGGGACUAGCGUUGUUCGGAAUUACUGGGCGUAAAGCGUGCGCAGGCGGUUUUGUAAGCCAGAUGUGAAAUCCCCGGGCUUAACCUGGGAAUGGCAUUUGGGACUGCAAGGCUGGAGUUUGGCAGAGGAGACUGGAAUUCCCGGUGUAGCAGUGAAAUGCGUAGAUAUCGGGAGGAAUACCGAUGGCGAAGGCAGGUCUCUGGGCUAUAACUGACGCUCAUGCACGAAAGCGUGGGGAGCAAACAGG